rnacentral:ncRNA from 1 species
CGUAGGGAAACCGAGUCUUAACUGGGCGACACAGUCGCUGGAUAUAGACCCGAAAACCGAGCGAUCUAUCCAUGAGCAGGGUGAAGGUUGAGUAACAUCAACUGGAGGCCCGAACCAGGAUCUGUUGAAAAAAGAUUUGGAUGACUUGUGGAUCGGAGUGAAAGGCUAAUCAAGCUCGGAGAUAGCUGGUUCUCCUCGAAAAGCUAUUUAGGUAGCGCCUCACGUAUCACCGCCGGGGGGGUAGAGCACUGUUUUCGGGCUAGGGGGGGGUCAUCCCCACUUACCAACGAGGCAAACUCCGAAUACCGGUGAGUGC